rnacentral:rRNA from 1 species
UACGUAGGGGGCAAGCGUUGUCCGGAUUUAUUGGGCGUAAAGAGCGUGUAGGCGGCCAUACAGGUCCGUUGUGAAAACUGGAGGCUUAACCUUCAGACGUCGAUGGAAACCGUAUGGCUAGAGUCCGGAAGAGGAGAGUGGAAUUCCUGGUGUAGCGGUGAAAUGCGCAGAUAUCAGGAAGAACACCCGUGGCGAAGGCGGCUCUCUGGGACGGUACUGACGCUGAGACGCGAAAGCGUGGGGAGCGAACAGG